rnacentral:rRNA from 1 species
UACAGAGGGGGCAAGCGUUAUUCGGAAUUAUUGGGCGUAAAGGGCGCGUAGGCGGCCUGGCAAGUGGAAGGUGAAAUCCCUCGGCUUAACCGAGGAACUGCCCUCCAAACUGCUUGGCUUGAGUCCGGGAGAGGUGAGUGGAAUUCCCAGUGUAGCGGUGAAAUGCGUAGAGAUGUGGAGGAACACCGAUGGCGAAGGCAGCCCCCUGGGCUAACACUGACGCUCAUGCACGAAAGCGUGGGGAGCAAACAGG